rnacentral:rRNA from 1 species
CUCCUACGGGGGGCAGCAGUGGGGAAUAUUGGGCAAUGGGCGCAAGCCUGACCCAGCAACGCCGCGUGAAGGAAGAAGGCUUUCGGGUUGUAAACUUCUUUUGACAGGGAAGAGCAGAAGACGGUACCUGUCGAAUAAGCCACGGCUAACUACGUGCCAGCAGCCGCGGUAAUACGUAGGUGGCAAGCGUUGUCCGGAUUUACUGGGUGUAAAGGACGCGUAGGCGGGAUAGCAAGUCAGUCGUGAAAUGCCGAGGCUUAACCUCGGAGCUGCGAUUGAAACUGUUAUUCUUGAGUAUCGGAGAG